rnacentral:lncRNA from 1 species
CUCAAUUUGGACUAGCCACAUUUCAAGUGCUUGACAGUCACAGGUGACUAAUGGCUCUCCUAUGGGUUAUAGCCCAGCUCUUGACUCUUUGAUCCACAAGGAUAAGAACCACAUCCACUUCCACAUCUCCAGGUAUGAGGCAGAUAAAUAGCAGAGAGUGAUUACACGUAACUCUUCUCACCACGGAUUCCGGCAUUUGUGGGCAGCUGCAGAAGAGUAGGUGGGAGGAUCUCCCAGAUUAUGAGGCCAGUUUUUCUGUGGCUCAGAGAGUGCCAGUGACUCGCUCAAGAUAAAACAGCUUGUUAGUGGCAGGGAUGGAGCCCAGAAAUCCUGUUUCCUGUCCUCAGGAGUGUGUGUUCGAAAGAAGUUCUUGGCAAAGACAUGUUCACAGAUAGUAUUUUCCAGUCUGCCAGUGCCAUUGGGGAUUGCACUGUAGCAAACUAUUUCUGUGAGUUUCUGCUGAGAUCGACAAAUGAAGAAAUAUAGUGAAGACUUGGUGGAUACCCAGUUCUGCCAAACUAUCUAAAUCUUCUCAACAAGACAAGAACAUAAUGGAAAACAACAUGGAGCUUUGGAGCAUGGUGCUUGGUCCAACACCUUUGGAAAUCAACAAUGUUUUAGAUCAAAGCUGUUCCAUUUUCCUGGAUCCUAGUGGGGAGCUAACAUGGCGCAGAGCCACAGCCAAUCCAAGGACAUGUGGUAAGAAUGAUAAAUAAACCUUUGUUAUUUUAAGACAGUGAAAGUUUGCAGUCAGU